rnacentral:rRNA from 1 species
CAGCAGCCGCGGUAAUACGUAGGGGGCAAGCGUUAUCCGGAAUUACUGGGUGUAAAGGGAGCGUAGACGGUUAAACAAGUCUGAAGUGAAAUGCCGGGGCUCAACCCCGGAGCUGCUUUGGGAACUGUAGAACUGGAGUGUCGGAGGGGUAAGCGGAAUUCCCAGUGUAGCGGUGAAAUGCGUAGAUAUUGGGAGGAACACCGGCGGCGAAGGCGGCUUACUGGACGACAACUGACGUUGAGGCUCGAAGGCGUGGGUAGCAAACAGGAUUAGAUACCCCUGUAGUCCCUGUCUCUUAUAC